CUGGGGGCAGGCCUAACACAUGCAAGUCGAGCGGUAGCACAGAGAGCUUGCUCUCGGGUGACGAGCGGCGGACGGGUGAGUAAUGUCUGGGAAACUGCCUGAUGGAGGGGGAUAACUACUGGAAACGGUAGCUAAUACCGCAUAAUGUCGCAAGACCAAAGUGGGGGACCUUCGGGCCUCAUGCCAUCAGAUGUGCCCAGAUGGGAUUAGCUAGUAGGUGGGGUAACGGCUCACCUAGGCGACGAUCCCUAGCUGGUCUGAGAGGAUGACCAGCCACACUGGAACUGAGACACGGUCCAGACUCCUACGGGAGGCAGCAGUGGGGAAUAUUGCACAAUGGGCGCAAGCCUGAUGCAGCCAUGCCGCGUGUGUGAAGAAGGCCUUCGGGUUGUAAAGCACUUUCAGCGGGGAGGAAGGCGUUAAGGUUAAUAACCUUGUCGAUUGACGUUACCCGCAGAAGAAGCACCGGCUAACUCCGUGCCAGCAGCCGCGGUAAUACGGAGGGUGCAAGCGUUAAUCGGAAUUACUGGGCGUAAAGCGCACGCAGGCGGUCUGUCAAGUCGGAUGUGAAAUCCCCGGGCUCAACCUGGGAACUGCAUUCGAAACUGGCAGGCUAGAGUCUUGUAGAGGGGGGUAGAAUUCCAGGUGUAGCGGUGAAAUGCGUAGAGAUCUGGAGGAAUACCGGUGGCGAAGGCGGCCCCCUGGACAAAGACUGACGCUCAGGUGCGAAAGCGUGGGGAGCAAACAGGAUUAGAUACCCUGGUAGUCCACGCCGUAAACGAUGUCGAUUUGGAGGUUGUGCAGCUUUGAGGCGUGGCUUCCGGAGCUAACGCGUUAAAUCGACCGCCUGGGGAGUACGGCCGCAAGGUUAAAACUCAAAUGAAUUGACGGGGGCCCGCACAAGCGGUGGAGCAUGUGGUUUAAUUCGAUGCAACGCGAAGAACCUUACCUGGUCUUGACAUCCACAGAACUUAGCAGAGAUGCUUUGGUGCCUUCGGCAACUGUGAGACAGGUGCUGCAUGGCUGUCGUCAGCUCGUGUUGUGAAAUGUUGGGUUAAGUCCCGCAACGAGCGCAACCCUUAUCCUUUGUUGCCAGCGGUUAGGCCGGGAACUCAAAGGAGACUGCC
rnacentral:rRNA from 1 species